rnacentral:tRNA from 1 species
CGCGCGGUAGAGCAGUUUGGUAGCUCGUCAGUCUCCUUAGCUGAAGGUCGUGGGUUCAAAUCCCAUCUGCGCAACCA